rnacentral:rRNA from 1 species
GGAAUUGUUCGCAAUGGGCGCAAGCCUGACGACGCAAUGCCGCGUGGAAGAUGAAGAAUUUCGGUUCGUAAACUCCUUUCGCCCGAGAUGAAUGUCUGCCGACCCAAUACGUCGGCAGGGUGACAGUAUCGCGGGAAGAAGCCACGGCUAACUCCGUGCCAGCAGCCGCGGUAAUACGGGGGGGGCGAGCGUUGUUCGGAAUUACUGGGCGUAAAGGGUUCGUAGGUGGCCUUCUAAGUCGAAUGUGAAAUCCCUCGGCUCAACUGAGGAACUGCAUUUGAUACUGGAAGGCUUGAGUGCAGGAGAGGAACGCGGAAUUCCAGGUGUAGCGGUGAAAUGCGUAGAUAUCUGGAGGAACACCGGUGGCGAAGGCGGCGUUCUGGACUGCAACUGACACUGAGGAACGAAAGCCAGGGGAGCAAAC